GCCACCUGGACGUUUUUGGGAAUUGUUCCUGAUGUCCUGUUCAUUUUAAAUUUGUUCUUUUCAAAAUGAAAUUAAAAGAAACGUUCAUGAAGUUCUUGUGAGGUCUUCUGUCUCAGCUGAGGGGGUUUGGGUGACCAGGAUGGCAGCACUCAGUAGUACAGAAGAUUCAUGGGGGUCCCACCGUCAGGCACAAGCGAUACACCCGGAUUGAUGGUGUGCACUCAAUGAGUAAGGUGGGCAUCAGUAGGCAGACGGACAGAUGGAGAUUUAGAGGAUGAAACCAGAGCUGCCCGUGGGAUGAGGAGAGCCAGAGCCGCGUCUUUACUUGUCAGGUUGGAGCCACCGGGAUGUCUUUGGGAAUUGUUCCUGAUGUUAUGUUCAUUUUAAAUUUGUUCUUUUCAAAAUUUAAGUAAAAAGAAAUGUUCAUAAAGUUCUUGCGAGAUCUUCGGCCUUAUCUGAGAGGGUUUGGGUGACCGGCUGUUUACUUGGUAGGACGACAGCACCCAGUAAUACAGGAGAUUCACGGGAGACCCACCAUCAGGCACCAGUGAUACACCUGGACUGAGUGAGGUGAAGAGUCCAUCGGCAGUAGAGGAGAGAACUUCACACUCAAGUCCAUUUGACCUGCGCCAGUAGGCCGGUGUGCCACUCUCUGGAUGCCCUGAUGACGUCAAAGCAUUCCAGCCGCAGGCCAGGCGUCCCCACGAGGCAGCUGUUGUGGUGUGCGCUAUCUGCAGAGUUUUGUCUUUAUUUUUAUUUUAUUUUGCUUGAGACAAAGCAAGAUGAACUUCAAUACAGGACACUUGGCAUGGCAGUUGUACCUCACUGGUCACACAAACAGUAACACAUGCCAAUGCCUCAGGCUGGUCACAUUUUCUUUUAUGCUUUUCCCUCCUGCUGCCAUUGCUCUUUAAUAAAUACU